rnacentral:rRNA from 1 species
CCUACGGGUGGCAGCAGUGGGGAAUAUUGCACAAUGGGCGAAAGCCUGAUGCAGCAACGCCGCGUGAGCGAUGAAGGCCUUCGGGUCGUAAAGCUCUGUCCUCAAGGAAGAUAAUGACGGCACUUGCGGAGUAAGCCCCGGCUACCUACGUGCCAGCGGCCGCGGUAAUACGAGGGGGGCUAGCGUUAUCCGGAUUUACUGGGCGGAAAGGGUGCGUAGGUGGUUUCUUAAGUCAGAGGUAAAAGGCUACGGCUAAACCGUAGUAAGCUUUUGAAACUAGGAAGCUAGAGUGCAGGAGAGGAGAGUGGAAUUCCUAGUGUAGCGGUGAAAUGCGUAGAUAUUAGGAGGAACACCAGUUGCGAAGGCGGCUUUCUGGACUGUAACUGACACUGAGGCACGAAAGCGUGGGGAGCGAACAGGAUUAGAUACCCGAGUAGUC